AACGAACGCUGGCGGCAGGCCUAACACAUGCAAGUCGAGCGCGCCCUUCGGGGUGAGCGGCGGACGGGUGAGUAACGCGUGGGAACGUGCCCUUCUCUGCGGAAUAGCCUCGGGAAACUGAGAGUAAUACCGCAUACGCCCUUUGGGGGAAAGAUUUGUCGGAGAAGGAUCGGCCCGCGUUGGAUUAGGUAGUUGGUGGGGUAAUGGCCCACCAAGCCGACGAUCCAUAGCUGGUUUGAGAGGAUGAUCAGCCACACUGGGACUGAGACACGGCCCAGCCUCCUACGGGAGGCAGCAGUGGGGAAUCUUAGACAAUGGGGGCAACCCUGAUCUAGCCAUGCCGCGUGAGUGAUGAAGGCCUUAGGGUUGUAAAGCUCUUUCAGCUGGGAAGAUAAUGACGGUACCAGCAGAAGAAGCCCCGGCUAACUCCGUG
rnacentral:rRNA from 1 species